rnacentral:rRNA from 1 species
UUAUUUUCAGGAAGCUUUCGGGUGGAAUGAACUUAACUUAGCGGCGGACGGGUGAGUAACGCGUGGGCAACCUACCCUGUACAGGGGGAUAACAAUGGGAAACCAUUGCUAAUACCCCAUAAUACCUUUUAGGGGCAUCCCUUUAAGGUCAAAGAAUUUCGGUACAGGAUGGGCCCGCGUCUGAUUAGCUAGUUGGUGAGGUAAUGGCUCACCAAGGCGACGAUCAGUAGCCGGCCUGAGAGGGUGAACGGCCACACUGGAACUGAGACACGGUCCAGACUCCUACGGGAGGCAGCAGUGGGGAAUAUUGCACAAUGGGCGAAAGCCUGAUGCAGCAACGCCGCGUGAGCGAUGAAGGCUUUCGGGUCGUAAAGCUCUGUCCUAAGGGAAGAUAAUGACGGUACCUUAGGAGGAAGCCCCGGCUAACUACGUGCCAGCAGCCGCGGUAAUACGUAGGGGGCAAGCGUUAUCCGGAAUCAUUGGGCGUAAAGGGUGCGUAGGCGGCCCUAUAGGUCAGAGGUCAAAGGCUACGGCUCAACCGUAGUAAGCCUUUGAAACUGUAGGGCUUGAGUGCAGGAGAGGAGAGUGGAAUUCCUAGUGUAGCGGUGAAAUGCGUAGAUAUUAGGAGGAACACCAGUGGCGAAGGCGACUCUCUGGACUGCAACUGACGCUGAGGCACGAAAGCGUGGGGAGCGAACAGGAUUAGAUACCCUGGUAGUCCACGCCGUAAACGAUGAGUGCUAGGUGUCGGGGGUCGAACCUCGGUGCCGCAGCUAACGCAUUAAGCACUCCGCCUGGGGAGUACGUUCGCAAGAAUGAAACUCAAAGGAAUUGACGGGGACCCGCACAAGCAGCGGAGCAUGUGGUUUAAUUCGAAGCAACGCGAAGAACCUUACCUGGACUUGACAUCCCUCGGACCGCUUUUUAACAAAGCCUUCCUUCGGGGACUGAGGUGACA